GUCCUCUUGUUUUUAUUUGAGGUCAUGCCUGCCCGGUGAUUGUUUUUAACGGCCGCGGUAUUUUGACCGUGCAAAGGUAGCAUAAUCAUUAGUCUUUUAAUAGAAGGCUGGAAUGAAGGGUUUAACGAAACAUUAACUGUCUCGAAUGUAUUAUUUAUAAUUUAAUUUUUAAGUUAAAAAGCUUAAAUUUUUUUGUAGGACGAGAAGACCCUAUAGAGCUUUACAUUUAUAUUGUCUAAUAUUAUUUAGGUUAUUGUAAGAUAUUUUUUAUAUAAUGUUUUGUUGGGGUGACAAGAAAUAUAUAUUUAACUUUUUUAUUUUAUUUACAUAAAUUUAUGUUAACUUGAUCCUUUUUUAUUGAUUAUUAGAUUAAGUUACCUUAGGGAUAACAGCGUAAUCUUUCUUUGGAGAUCUAAUUUAUAGAAAGGCUUGCGACCUCGAUGUUGGAUUAAGAUUAUUUUUUGGUGCAGUAGCUAAUUAAAUAGGUCUGUUCGACCUUUAAAAUCUUACAUGAUCUGAGUUCAGACCGG
rnacentral:rRNA from 1 species